rnacentral:rRNA from 1 species
GAUGAACGCUAGCGGCAGGCUUAAUACAUGCAAGUCGAGGGACAGCACAGGUAGCAAUACUGGGUGGUAACCGGCAAACGGGUGCGGAACACGUACACAACCUUCCUUUAAGUGGGGGAUAGCCCAGAGAAAUUUGGAUUAAUACCCCGUAAUAUAGUUGAAUGGCAUCAUUUGAUUAUUAUAGCUACGGCGCUUAAUGAUGGGUGUGCGGCUGAUUAGAUAGUUGGCGGGAUAACGGCCCACCAAGUCUACGAUCAGUAGCUGAUGUGAGAGCAUGAUCAGACACCAGGGCACUGAGACACGGGCCCGAAUCCUACGGGAGGCAGCAGUAAGGAAUAUUGGUCAAUGGACGCAAGUCUGAACCAGCCAUGCCGCGUGAAGGAUUAAGGUCCUCUGGAUUGUAAACUUCUUUUAUUUGGGACGAAAAAGGGCCUUUCUAGGUCAACUGACGGUACCAGAUGAAUAAGCACCGGCUAACUCCGUGCCAGCCGCCGCCGUAACAC